ACAGUAACUCGUGCAGGGCGUGGAACAAAGUUCUAGUCCAAACUCCAGUCGUGGUGGCUGCCCUCCCGCAGUUUUCUCUUCGCCGUCGCCUUCCAGACAAAGCCGCGCUGUGCGCUCCUGGGACCGCCCGAGGCGCCGGAGGAACCCAGCCCUGAGGAUGGAGCCAGGGGCUGCUAGAGAGCUGAGUUUCCUUCUCACGACCCGACCCGAGGGUGAAAGCACCCCAAACCAGGCACGGAAGAGUGUACAGUUAGAAAUUAAUGCGUCUUGCUGGACAGUGAAAGAUGAAGGAAGACAAGUGGUGUUAGAGAGGUGUUAGCUAAUUAUUUUCAUCUCUAUAAAAACACAAUGAUGUAAAUAGAGCAGGCUCGAUUUCCAAGGUACAGUUCCGCAGCAACCUCAA
rnacentral:lncRNA from 1 species